UAGGACCAAGUUCAGGUGAUGGUCCUACCACGCUGCCUCCAUUUCUGGUUUUUGAAUUGAAUGAUGACAAGGAGACCUCUCUCAUUCUGAAUAUUUAGACAGGCCACAUUUAUCUUAUCCAGUCUCUUUACUCAGCAGCUAGGUAUACUGGCACUGAGGCAAUCUACACAACCAAAAUAUUAAAUUCAACCUUGGCUAAUUUGGUAGUUAAGGGACAAACUUCUUUAGGCUUUUCAUGGAGGACAAAAACCUUUUUACUUCUUUCUUUGUGUGCCUGUUUGCAUGCGGAGAAGGAAUUACUGUCACAAAUGCCGGCUUUUAAAACACCAAUGUGGGAAGAUAGCUAACAUCGUCCUGAAAAGGUGGUGUUCCUGGGGGCCGUGCUUUGGAAAAAGCUUGUAGUUCGAAAAUCACUAGACGUCCUCCUCCUGACUCCUAGAGCAUCCUGGAGAGUACAAGUUGAAGAAUCUCAACUUCACAGUGCUCUGGGUCCAUGCCCCAAACACAGGAAAAAGUACUGGGAGAGAUUCUGCCUGCAGCCAGGGUUAGGAGUCUCCAAACUAGACCAAACCUUCCUCCUUUUCCAAAACGUCUGAUGCAUUCCCAUCUGCAGCUGUGGCUCACUUAAGUGAUCCUCAUGGCAAAAUUGGUCAUGUAAAUUAGGAGUCAUUGAUCUUCUAGACCAGCGGCUUCAACAAAGGGCAAUCUGGCUCCCAGCCCUGGCUGAAAGGGGUCUCUUCUUAUGUUACUGAUGGGAUCAUGAGAAGACAAAAGCACAAGAAAAUGAAGUACGCAGGAAUGAGAGCCUGAGCAUCACGUGGUUGUGAGACCUCCGUGUGGAGGAAAAGGUGGGUGAAAGCCAGGAGGGCUUUGGGUAGAGGACAUUGACUGGAAGCAUAGGGGAGAGGGUCUUACGGUCAAUAACAGGGCCAUCCUGAGACCAAGUGAGGAGAGUGUCUAGGGCAGGGUCCCAUCUCCGCCAUUGUGUCAUAUCCAGCACAGGGAACCCAGAUGUUCAUGAAACCACCUGCCCACCUUCCUGCUAGCUGCCAUCAUUGCACAGAAGGAGCUCAGCCUCUUUGUGCCUUCGUGAACACGCUGAAGGGAUUGGCAUUUGUGUGUCCAUUUUUCUCUCUGCCUCUUCUGUGGCUCCAGAGUUAAGAGUGAAGUCGCCCCAGAGGGAACAGGGAAGGGAGUGAAUGAGAAAGGCUCCGUCUAAAGGGAUGUACAGAGGUCAGUUUUUUUUUGUUGUUGUUUGUUUCCCAGCUGGUCAUCUUUAUUACCUGUUCUAUUCCUUUACUGGGAUGGCAGCGUUUCAUUAAACCAUGGAAUAUCAAAACAAGAAUGACUAGUAGAAAUUAUCUGACCAUUCACUUUCUGCACAUCUCAUCUAUGUCAGACUUAGGGCUCAGCCCUGGG